CAGCAGCCGCGGUAACACGGAGGGUGCAAGCGUUAUCCGGAUUCACUGGGUUUAAAGGGUGCGUAGGCGGAUAGGUAAGUCAGGGGUGAAAUCCUGGAGCUUAACUCCAGAACUGCCUUUGAUACUAUCUAUCUUGAAUAUGGUGGAGGUAAGCGGAAUAUGUCAUGUAGCGGUGAAAUGCAUAGAUAUGACAUAGAGCACCUAUUGCGAAGGCAGCUUACUACGCCUAUAUUGACGCUGAGGCACGAAAGCGUGGGGAUCAAACAGGAUUAGAUACCCUGGUAGUCCACGCCCUAAACGAUGAUUACUCGACGUAUGCGAUACACUAGUAUGCGUCUGAGCGAAAGCAUUAAGUAAUCCACCUGGGAUGUAUGACCGCAGGGUUGAAACUUAAAGGAAUUGGCGG
rnacentral:rRNA from 1 species